rnacentral:rRNA from 1 species
AUUGAACGCUGUCGGCAUGCCUUACACAUGCAAGUCGAACGGCAGCACGGGAGCAAUCCUGGUGGCGAGUGGCGAACGGGUGAGUAAAGUAUCGGAACGUGCCCAGUCGUGGGGGAUAACGUAGCGAAAGUUACGCUAAUACCGCAUACGAUCUAUGGAUGAAAGCGGGGGAUCGCAAGACCUCGCGCGAUUGGAGCGGCCGAUAUCAGAUUAGGUAGUUGGUGGGGUAGAAGCUCACCAAGCCGACGAUCUGUAGCUGGUCUGAGAGGACGACCAGCCACACUGGGACUGAGACACGGCCCAGACUCCUACGGGAGGCAGCAGUGGGGAAUUUUGGACAAUGGGCGAAAGCCUGAUCCAGCCAUGCCGCGUGCAGGAUGAAGGCCUUCGGGUUGUAAACUGCUUUUGUACGGAACGAAAAGGUUUGGCCUAAUAAGCUGAGCUCAUGACGGUACCGUAAGAAUAAGCACCGGCUAACUACGUGCCAGCCGCCGCCGUAA